rnacentral:rRNA from 1 species
UACGUAGGGGGCAAGCGUUGUCCGGAUUUAUUGGGCGUAAAGAGCGUGUAGGCGGCCAUACAGGUCCGUUGUGAAAACUGGAGGCUUAACCUCCAGACGUCGAUGGAAACCGUAUGGCUAGAGUCCGGAAGAGGCAACUGGAAUUCCCAGUGUAGCGGUGAAAUGCGUAGAUAUUGGGAAGAACACCUGAGGCGAAGGCGGGUUGCUGGGCCGACACUGACGCUGAUGCGCGAAAGCCAGGGGAGCGAACGGG